rnacentral:rRNA from 1 species
UACGAAGGUGGCGAGCGUUGUUCGGAAUCAUUGGGCGUAAAGGGCGCGUAGGCGGGCUUGUAAGUCGGUUGUGAAAUCCCUGGGCUUAACCCGGGAAUUGCAUUCGAAACUGCAAGUCUUGAGUUCUCGAGAGGAUGGUGGAAUUCCUGGAGUAGUAGUGAAAUACGUAGAUAUCAGGAGGAACACCGGAGGCGAAGGCGGCCAUCUGGCGAGACACUGACGCUAAGGCGCGAAAGCGUGGGUAGCAAACAGG